AGCUACAUCCGUCACCUGACACGGCCCUACCAGGAACAGCCGCGCUCCCGCGGAUUCUGGUGCUGCUCGCGUCCCCGCUCCCCUAUUCCCCUUAUUUUAUUCCUGGCUCCCCUCGUCGAAAGUCUUCCAUUCUUCAAACUAGAUUAUUUAAAAAUGAAAAAGGAAGAAAGGAAAGCGAGGUCAUCUCAUUGCUCUAUCCGCCAAUCAGGAGGCUGAAUGUCAGUUUUGAACUAAAAGCCGCUCCGCUCCUCUUCUAGAUUUGGAAAACAAGCGAAAUUAAACUAAACCGCUGCACGCCUCUGACGCGACAUCUGGACACGGCGCGGCGCUGGCGCUGCCGGAGCUGUCGACCCGGCCUGGCGCCGGACUAGUGUCCCUUUUGAUGAGAAGAAUAAGCCUCAUUCUGAUUCAACAGCAGAGAUCAAAGAAAAGACUUCUGUUUUCUGGCCACCAGAUAUAUGUUAUCUGUGCUUAAAGAAUUGAAAAACACACAUCAAAGGAGAAUUUUCUUGGAAAGAGAGGGUUCAAGCAUCACUGUUAGGUGUGCUGGAAUCCUUUCCCGAGUCAGUACUGCUUUCUAGAAGAAAACCGGGGAGAUCUAUUUGGAAUGUAUCUAACUCCAAAGAAACCAUCAGAGGUAACAGGAUGAUUACGGAGCUAGGAAUUUCCUACGAAGCUGGGUGAUAAAAGGACAUUGGACAAAAACACAGAUAGCUUCAUUCUAUACCAGGAUCCAUCACUGAUUAGCUGUAUUAUAUUUGUCUCUACUGUAAUUUGAGGAGAAUGAUACCUGCUUCUCUAUCUUGUUGGGUUUUACAGAUGAUGUAUUGAAAGUUCAAUAAAAUCUAUAAACAAUAGAUCUCUGUGGCUUGAAUGGUCCUCAGAUAUCUUGACCAAUGAUUCUCAAAUGCUUACCAUAGACCAUAAUUUUUCCCCACAUGACACUGCUUCAUAUUUUUAAGUUUUUUUUCACCAAAUAUUUUGUUUUACUAUCUCCAAGCCCUGAAACUUUUUUUCUCCCUCAAACAUGACUUCAACUUUACUAUCCUGGUCCCUUUCUAUUGAAUGUGUUUUGUUUGUGUCUAUAUUUCUUAUAGUGUCUUGAACUGAUUGUACUUACGAUAUGACUUGACUAGCAUAAGAUAGAAUAGGGCAGUCAUCUUCUUUGAUCUAGACUAGAUGCUAUCCUUCUAUUAAUGCAGUUGCUAGUUUUGUAUUUGCUUGCUUUCAAUUUUUUUUUUUCAGAUUUUGGUAACCACUGUUACUUGACUCGUAUCAAACUUAUCAGUAGCUAAAACCCCCAUUUUCCCUCUUCCUGUGCUUAUUUGACUAGUUUUGUUGCGCUUUCUGAAAUGUUUCUCACUUGUUUUUGACCAAAAAAAUAAAAAUAACAAAUGCCA
rnacentral:lncRNA from 1 species